UACGAAGGGGGCUAGCGUUGCUCGGAUUCAUUGGGCGUAAAGGGUGCGUAGGCGGCGCGGUAAGUCGGGUGUGAAAUCUCGGAGCUUAACUCCGAAACUGCAUUUGAUACUGCCGUGCUUGAGGACUGGAGAGGAGACUGGAAUUUACGGUGUAGCGGUGAAAUGCGUAGAUAUCGUAAGGAAGACCAGUGGCGAAGGCGGGUCUCUGGACAGUUCCUGACGCUGAGGCACGAAGGCCAGGGGAGCAAACGGG
rnacentral:rRNA from 1 species